AUUUAGAAUCCUCCGGAUGCUGCCGAGCCCUUCUGUUUUUCUUUUCCAUCCCCUCUGAAAUCCUAGCCGCCUCUCGAAACCCUAGCCAAAAUGGGUUGAAGAUUGCUGUGCUGAUCUUGGAUCUGAACUUCUGAAGAUUAAAGUUCACCACUUUGUGUCUCACACACUUCCCUUCCGAUAUUACAUAACAAUGCAUUUUAAUCAUUCAAGACGGCACCAAAAACUGCAAAAAGACUAUUUAAGCACGAAAAACCACCAAAGAAAGAUACUAACGACCCAAACAGCGAGAAUUUAUCACAGAAAAAGAAUCAAAAGAAGCCGAUAAAAGGUGAGAUUGAAGACACAGAGAAGGGAUUGAGAGAGACAGAGACUUUUGUGGUUCGGAUGAAGAUGACGAAUCGGGGGUUGCCAUCGUCCUCGAUCUUGGGGAGAGGGGGAGGGGGAGGCCGCUGGAACUGGCGGGCCAUCAUCCCUCUCUUCCCCUUUGCCUCCACCACCAUCAGCUGCCGCUUCUUCUCGGACACCCUUCGGCUGGUUUGGCUUCGCAAAGGGAGAGGCGAGCCCAGGAAGACGCCAUUUUCGUGGGCUGUUACUUUGGAAUUGGACAGCGGAAGGCGAGCCAGAGCUCGGACGGACAUGGCCACUUCCAUCUCUCCCUCUCUCUCUCUCUCUACUAAAAGGAGAUAGAGCUCGGUUCGUCGGAGAAGAAAGAGCUCCUGGAGACUGGUCUCGCUCUCUCCUCUUUGUUGUCGUUUUUAUUUUUCAGCUUUCUUUCUCUUAUCCGAUUGUCGGGCACCCGACAGCAAAUUUGGUUUUCUGGGUUUUCACAAAUAAAUAAAUAAAUAAAGGGUUUCUGUUUCUGGGCA